AUGGGGAAGACAGAGCCAACACCGCCGAUGCCCACGGGCCACUUCAGUCAGGUGCCUUCCAUACUUCCUCCUUCAGGAUUUUCAAUCCAAGGUGGGCGGAUUACUAAAAUUGUAGCCAGUCCAUACUACAUGCUCCCAGAGGUAUUAAAGCACAAUUAUGGCCCUGAAAUCAAUGUCUGGAUUGUAGGAGUUAUACUUUACAUAGUUCUUUGUGGUGUGCAAACAUUUUUGGAAGAUUCUGAACAGGGAGUAGCACAAGCAAUUAUGUGCUCUGUGGUAGAUUUCAAAAGAGACCCAAGGCCCGGAGUAUCUGAGCCUGCUAAAGACUUUGUUCGACAGACGCUAGAUCCAGAUCCAAUCACACGGUUUACUACAACACACGUACUCAGUGAGCGUUAG
rnacentral:rRNA from 1 species